GUGUCAGCAGCCGCGGUAAUACGUAGGUGGCAAGCGUUAUCCGGAAUUAUUGGGCGUAAAGCGAGCGCAGGCGGUUUCUUAAGUCUGAUGUGAAAGCCCCCGGCUCAACCGGGGAGGGUCAUUGGAAACUGGGAGACUUGAGUGCAGAAGAGGAGAGUGGGAUUCCAUGUGUAGCGGUGAAAUGCGUAGAUAUAUGGAGGAACACCAGUGGCGAAGGCGGCUCUCUGGUCUGUAACUGACGCUGAGGCUCGAAAGCGUGGGGAGCAAACAGGAUUAGAUACCCCUGUAGUC
rnacentral:rRNA from 1 species